rnacentral:rRNA from 1 species
UGGGGGAUAUUGCGCAAUGGGGGAAACCCUGACGCAGCAACGCCGCGUGAAGGAUGAAGGUCUUCGGAUUGUAAACUUCUUUUAUUAAGGACGAAGAAAGUGACGGUACUUAAUGAAUAAGCUCCGGCUAACUACGUGCCAGCAGCCGCGGUAAUACGUAGGGAGCAAGCGUUGUCCGGAUUUACUGGGUGUAAAGGGUGCGUAGGCGGCUUUGCAAGUCAGAUGUGAAAUCUAUGGGCUCAACCCAUAGCCUGCAUUUGAAACUGCAGAGCUUGAGUGAAGUAGAGGCAGGCGGAAUUCCCCGUGUAGCGGUGAAAUGCGUAGAGAUGGGGAGGAACACCAGUGGCGAAGGCGGCCUGCUGGGCUUUAACUGACGCUGAGGCACGAAAGCGUGGGUAGCAAACAGGAUUAGAUACCCUGGUAGUCCACGCUGUAAACGAUGAUUACUAGGUGUGGGGGGUCUGACCCCUUCCGUGCCGGAGUUAACACAAUAAGUAAUCCACCUGGGGAGUACGGCCGCAAGGUUGAAACUCAAAGGAAUUGACGGGGGCCCGCACAAGCAGUGGAGUAUGUGGUUUAAUUCGAAGCAACGCGAAGAACCUUACCAGGUCUUGACAUCCUACUAACGAGAUAGAGAUAUGUUAGGUGCCCUUCGGGGAAAGUAGAGACAGGUGGUGCAUGGUUGUCGUCAGCUCGUGUCGUGAGAUGUUGGGUUAAGUCCCGCAACGAGCGCAACCCUUGCUAUUAGUUGCUACGCAAGAGCACUCUAAUAGGACUGCCGUUGACAAAACGGAGGAAGGUGGGGACGACGUCAAAUCAUCAUGCCCCUUAUGACCUGGGCUACACACGUACUACAAUGGACAUCAACAAAGAGAAGCAAUACCGCGAGGUGGAGCAAAACUUCAAAAAUGGUCUCAGUUCGGACUGCAGGCUGCAACCCGCCUGCACGAAGUUGGAAUUGCUAGUAAUCGUGGAUCAGCAUGCCACGGUGAAUACGUUCCC